GUCACAGUGGCUGAGUGGUAAAGCGCUUGGCUUCCCAACCGAGGAUUCCAUGUUCGAAUCCUGGUGAAGACA
rnacentral:tRNA from 1 species